UAGGAUUUUAAGCAAUAAAGAGUUCAGUUAAGAUCUUGAAUUCGGCAAAUGUGGAGUGUUUUUCAUUUUAACGCUCUAACAUUUUGGUCCUUCGGCGUUCUCUGUGUUUUCCCCCACCCGUGUGGUAAGAGACAGAGUAUAUACAUAUAUAAACUAAAAGUGGUGCUCAAAUU